rnacentral:rRNA from 1 species
UGGGGAAUAUUGCACAAUGGAGGGAACUCUGAUGCAGCGACGCCGCGUGAACGAAGAAGGCUUUCGAGUCGUAAAGUUCUUUUAUAUGGGAAGAUAAUGACGGUACCAUAAGAAAAAGCCCCGGCUAACUACGUGCCAGCAGCCGCGGUAAUACGUAGGGGGCUAGCGUUGUCCGGAAUCACUGGGCGUAAAGGGUUCGCAGGCGGAAAUGCAAGUCAGGUGUAAAAGGCAGUAGCUUAACUACUGUAAGCAUUUGAAACUGCAUAUCUUGAGAAGAGUAGAGGUAAGUGGAAUUUUUAGUGUAGCGGUGAAAUGCGUAGAUAUUAAAAAGAAUACCGGUGGCGAAGGCGACUUACAGGGCUCAUUCUGACGCUGAGGAACGAAAGCGGGGGUAGCAAACAGG